CCAGGAUUACAAUGGUGUACGCCAGACACAAACUUCUACAACAAAAUACUUGUAUAUUACUUAAUUCAAUUUCCUUAUUGAGAUCUUUAUUUCUCUAUUUCAGUUCACUUUUAAACAUUCAUAGCUGGAAAUUUAUCCUUUUUUUCAAAACAAUAACAGCAAAUAUAUUUCAAAAAUAAGGUUUAUUGCCACAAUGUAUUUUUUAUUAAUGUCAAUUAAUAAUACAAGCAUCAAAUAACAUCAAGUAUUCAAAUGAACAAGAAAAAAAUCCCAAUUGACAACUAUUGUUCUUGGUAAUGUUGAUCUCUGCACAGUGUAGUGGGGAGGGAAAAGAAGAAAUAUAAACAAGAUAAUUAAUUGUUAUUAAGUUUGCUUAUUAUUUAAGUAAUAAACAUAACUGUGUCCUCUUUGCCAUUUUGAUGACCUCUAACUACAAAUAUUUUUCCAUUGUUUACAAUAGUUUUUCAAAUCUAAAUGAGUUUUGAUACAUGCAUACAUUUAAAGGUAAAAUUAAUUCCCUGAUUAUAUACCAUUAACAUACUAUUAAAAUAUGCAUGUUACAGCAAAAAACGGUACAAUUUUAUUUUUUGAAAAAAUGGUAGGUUUAUUUCUACCCUACUUUCAAUUUGUAUGAAUCAGUACAUCUGUGACAACAAUUAGUUUUCACAGGUUUCACUUAUUUAGACAUAUAUAUAACAGACAGGAAUAGUUUGGUUUUUAAAUAAAAAGGUAGCAAGAAAAAACAGGAAUCAUUAAAUACUUGUGACCUAAUUUUUCAGACCACUGACAAUGGGAAUUAAUUGUGGUAUGAAUCCUGUUUAAUACUUUGAAAUCAUCAAUAAUGUUCUCCAUUGCAUAUGCUUCUUUAUCUAAUAUUAUCAAGACCAUUGUAACCUAUUUAUAUUCAAUCCGUAUCAUCAAUUAUUUUGCAUCCUAUUUGGUCAAAAGUUAAAUAGAAAGUUUUGGAUUGACACAAAUUGAACAAGAGUAAUUUCCCCUUUGUCACAAUGUUGUUUUUUGAUAGAUUUUAAUUUCUUGAAGCCUUGCUUAAUUCAUCAUUAGGAUCAAGCAAGAUUCCACUUGUUUGUUCCACAUGCAAUGCCAUUAGUCAAAUUAGAACAUCUACAAAUUACACCUCCAAAAUGGUGGCCAAGGGAGAUAACUCAAAACAAAUUUUUGAAUUAAAACCUAUUUGUUCAGACCCUAUAUACACCAAAGACUAAACAAAGAUGAAAUCUUUAAAAAUAUAAGUAAGUUAAAGGGGGAAAUCAUAUAUAAAUGGUGAGAUAUCGAUGUAUAAUACAGUAGAACAUGAUCAGAAAAUACAGACUUUACCAUUCAUAGCAAAUUUACAAGCACAUGCAGGUCAAGGUUAAACAUUAAAUAAAUAAUUUAUACAUCUUCGUGAUAACAUGGGACAAAAGUAUAAAUACAUGAUAAAUGAUAAAUCCCUUUUAAAAGAAAAUUGUCUUUUUUAUGUUUGUUCUACUGAUUUUGUAUUUAUUAUAUCAACAACUAAUUUCAUUUCUAGUUGAAAAAAAAUUCUAAAUCCUAAUGCAAAUUGAUUCAAAUAUAAUUUAUAUAAAUUAAUUUUCUUCAUGGGUGUAAAAUUCACAAACUUUUAAUUAAUUGAAACUAACAUGAUUUUAACAAAUAUUUCAAAAUAAAAUAAAUUGACA
rnacentral:lncRNA from 1 species